UUUUAUGCUUAAGCCAAUUUGACACAGAGUUCCAAUUUUUAGAAAUUCUCAUUAAAGCUUGUAGCUCUAUUAUGGCUGUGUCCAUGUUUUUCCAUCACCAUAGUGCCUUGUAUGGAGAGUAAGCCUUUUUUCCUUUCUCUUCUCUCCUUAUCCCAGUGAAUAUAUAUAUUGUGUUUUCCCAGCUUAAGCCUUGGCAGCGGUGCCUGGGACUGUCACUGUAUCCAGACGCAUCCCACCAGAACUAGUAUUAUGUCCUACAGUCGCUGGUCAAAACUUUAACAAUUACUAUUGUGGCACACACCUGCAAUCCUUGUUACUGGGGAGGCUGAGGCAGGAGGAUCCUAACUAAGCUCACGGUCUGCCUGGAGUACAGGAUGGGUGACAGCAAGUGCUGGAGAGAAUGGAGAAUGACGGCCAGCCUGCACACGCUGUGAAGGGAAGCCUGUGCAGCCAUUGGGGAAAGCAGCAUGGGCGCAUCUCAAGAGAAGAAUGCACUUCUCCACGGAUGCACCAAUUCACCUGGACCUUGUGCCUUUAGCAGCAGGAAGGCUUGAGAAACAAGGAUCAGCCAGCCACAUUCACUCUUCAAGCUAUGCCUUCUCCUGCACCCCAAAAGCUAAGAAUGCCUUUCAAAUCUUUUAAAUGGUUGAAAGCUUUAAAAACAAAAAAAGAAUAAUAUUUUAUGACACGUGAAGAUGAUAUGAAAUUCAAAUUUCCUGUCCCUAAAUAAAGUUUUGUUGGAACAC